UGGUGGCUCAGACGGUAACGAAUCUGCCUGCAAUGCAGGAGACCCAGGUUCGAUCCCUGGGUCAGCAA
rnacentral:tRNA from 1 species